rnacentral:misc_RNA from 1 species
CCUCCCUACCAAUGUCUCUCAGUUCCACACAGACCCAUUAAGCUCCGCCUUUCAUACUCCUCUUACUCCCUAUCAUCUCUUUCUCUCAAACCCAAAACCCAUUUUUGUUCCUUUAUUACCUUUGUAGCCCAGACCUCUGAUUGGACCCAGCGAGAAGAGGAAGGCGACUCUACAAUCACUCUAACAGAAUCAGAACAAGAAGAACCGACAUGGGAAAAUAAAGCAAGUGAUGGCGCUGAAGCUCAAGUUUCUGAUUGGGAGGCUGACGGAGAAGAUGC